GAUUUUUUUUCAUUUUUUCAUUCAGGAAGUAUUUCACCCUGUUGUCCACUUGCAGAAUUGUUACACAAUGCCUUUAGUUCUGUAAUAAUUCAAGAGUUCUGACAAUCUUCAUGCUUUAGCAUACGUUGACUGUCAAUAUUUGUUACAAGACAAACAGUCUAGUCAGUAAUGUGUUUUUUGUGUGGUUGUUCUUAAAACAUUUUCUUCUCCUAGAGUUUUGAAAAUCUGAUCAAAGUAAGCACAAAAGCUGUGUUGCCUAAGGGAAAAAGUCUCAAUAAAGCUCUGAAGUGGUAGUGCAUUAGUCGUUGAGAGGUACCUCACCAUGGUAAUGUUAACUCUAAAACAUAAACAGAACAAAUGGUGAUGAUGAUCACUUCUACUGCAGACCUUGUUUUCAGAAAUACAUGUUUAUGUAGUAUUCCUAGCAUAGUAAUACGGAAAAAAAUUAAGAUAAAUUAAAUAAUCCAUACCAAGUCCUCAGUCUGGGUGGAGAGAGGGUUUUCAGCUGUUGUCCUGGGCAGUUUUGGUUUUGAAAUUCUGUUUAGUGGAAGUUAUUAUAAUCACAGAAUGGUUUGCAUUGGAAAAGAUCUCUUAAGACCAUUGAGUCCAACCAUUCCCCCAGCAGUGCCAAGGCCACCACUAAUCCAUGUCUGCAAGUGCCACAUCUGCAUGGGAGUGAAGCCCCUCCAGGGAUGGGGUAGAGAACAGGUAUGCAAGCAGUAAGGAAUGUUUCUGCAUUGCCUCUGAAUAUUAAGUUUGGAAAGUUAGUUUUGAACUGCCUCUAACAAAAAUUUUAGAAAACUGCUUUAUUUUAGAAAACGAGGCACCGUGUUUGAAGACCAUUAAAAUAGCUUGUAAUAAACUGUUGAUACAUUGGUGAACAAGCAAUAAAGUUUUGAUAUAUGAGAAAAGCAAGCAAUAAACUUUUUGAUACAUCACGGGAACUUUACUUGGAUACCAAUAAGCAGCCAAUGAACUUUAAGGGAGUGAAGAUGGAGUUCUCCACGGACAUGCUGUUGCUCUAAGAGAAUAUUUAUGACCAUCGAAGGAAGGCUGAGUUCCUGGAGACGGGAUAACGCAUGGCUUUCUGCUGCCAGACAGAGAGUUCCUUUCCGUGGUCACACCAAUGUUUUUUCAUACUCCCACGGACACCACAACUUUUUUGGAUAAGGAAGAAGAUGAUGGAACACAGAUGAGGGAAAGAAAUGGCCUCAGAGAACUUGGAUACGUGGGGGUAUUUUUACCCUUUGGGGUUUUUUCUUCCUGAAUUUCAAUGAGUGACUUAUUGGAAACUUCUUUGGGUUUGAAGUGUUUUUUUUCUUGUUCCACACACACGAAACUGUUUUGGGUUGUUUUGUUUGUCUUUGUUUAUAAUGCAGCUGAGAUAGGGUGACUUGAUAUUUUUAAAAUAGAAAACUGAUGCCUUCUGAGGGAAUAGGGGGAAGAGAGGAGGACUUUACUAGCUGAAAACAUGGGUCAUACAAGGGCAACAUUUUACUGUGAAGGUUGUGCUGGAUAUUGGGGGAGGAUUUGGUGAAAGCUGGUAUGGAGGCAAGAGUAAUGCUGCUUCUCCUUGGGUGCUAAAUCCACUGCUGGUUCUCCAAAUGCUGGAUCCCAAGGGUCCCUGCACCACAGCCACAUAUCUCCUUUUAUUUAUUAAAAAUAAUAUUUUUUUAUUAUUUUCCCCCCUCUUUCUUUUAAAGUGAAUUCUAUAAUAAACUUCUCCAACCCAUAGCAUUAGAAACUAUCAGGCACAGAAUACCAAGCAGGUGCCUUCAAUUUCACUGGCAUCCUGCUGUCUCCUAUCACUCCAUGAAAAUAAACCUAAACCAAAAAAAGUACCUUGUCUUGUUGGGGAGGUAAAUGAACGACAUUACAAAUCUAGUUUUUGAGUUGCUAAGAUGCAGAACCCUCACAGAAAAUUCUCAGCACCUUGCCCCUUCUUGUUUUGAUCGUUGCCAAAGCCUACAAGGCCCUGGGAGUUUAGGAGCAUCUUCUGGAGCCUGUUACCUCCUGGAGGCUGCCCAGCACACCCUGAGGUGACAGCAGCUUUUCAGAAAAAGAAAUUGUCAGCGAGUUGUCCAGUGUGCUGUGGAAAAGGAGUGUAACAUGUCAGUGACAGGGUGUCUUCCAGGGAUUAGCAACCAAAUGAACAGCGUGGGUCUCCACGAGAGGCCUCUCCACUUGAUGUCUGUUGGGAAAAGCACAGUGCUGUUUUCCAUGUUGUGCAGUUAAAUUAAUGAAUAGUAUAAGGUAUUCUACUUUUUCAAAACCAUCACCUUUGGGAUAACUUACUAGUUUGAAAGGAAUAUUUCCUUCUCAUUUCUAUGUCUAUAUUAAAAAUAUUAUGCAUAUGCUAAUAUUGGCAAGCAAUCACUUUAGGGUAAGUCUCUUUGAUGGUAAUCCUCUUUGCCUUCUCUGCUGUCACUGCCAUUCCAAAGCUUCUGGAAUUUGCUAUGGGAACUAUACCAACUGGAGACAGGGAUUAGAAAUUAAUGAAAUGAAUUCUGUUGUUCUGAGAUUUCUGAAUAACAUGUUUGUACUGGUGCUGAUGGGUUCAAACACAAAGUUGGAUAUGCUUUACUGUCUCCUGCAGGUGGACUGAGAUAGAGGGAGAAGGUGGCUUUGGUUUUACAUAUCUAUAAUCACCUGAUUUUGAUUUUGUUGUUCUGAAAUAGUUGAGGUUUUGUAUAUUUUGAGAAGUUUAGCAAAGGUACACUUUGUGCAGAUGCACUUCAAACAUCAGCAGAUGAGUGCCAGGAAAUAAUGUUGGACAGGGCACUGUUACAGUCAUCCUUUCUACCACUUCCUCUCAAACUGAUAUAAACAGAUGCAUGUUUUCAUGUCCUUUCCCUUGGGAAAGGGAGAACUCUGAGCUCAAGUGAUCAAUGUGUGGCUUUUCCGUGGUUACUUGGGAAACGUCAUCCCUGAAAUCCUUUUUAAUCACAAGUUACCUCGCAUCCUUUGACACCAUCCAGUGUUUUGUUUUUCAUCUACUGUAAGUUACAGAGUCUGGCUAAAAGGAACAAAUCUGGAUGAGCUGGCUGAUGCAACAAUAAACACAGGUAUGUGUGUUUGAAAACAGGAAUUUUGAAAAGGGAGAUACUUGCUGUUUUUUAAAAUGUGAUCAAUUUUAGAUUUUAGAGGUACUGUAGACUUCCAUAUUCAUUUACUGCUCCUUGCAAACAUUUUUCAUCUUUUAUUUUUUCUUUCAGCAUUUUUAGCAGAUUUAUGGAUGCUGGAUUUGAUGGCUUCUGGCAUACUAUGAUUUCACUUAGCAAGGCCCUGAGUGAGGCAGUGUGAAUUGGGAGCUCUUGGAUCAUUUUUUGACUUUGCCACAGACCUCCUGUGUUACUUUCAGGCAGUCACCUAAUCUCUGCAUCCACCAUCUGUGAAGCAGCCAGGCUUGGAACAGUGUGUGUCUCUGGAAGCAUGUAUCUAAUUCAGCUGUUAUUAUCAAAGUUAAAUAUUAAAGAACACUGUUUUGUUAUCAUAGGAUAAAACCAUGCCUCACCAUUUUCACUGUGAACUUUGUUCUUUUGCUAUUACAUUGUAUUUCAGGAAAAACAACGUUUUCACUGCACAGAAGUAAGUUAGGCAGAAAUUCAUGAUGCGUGAUGUGUGAGCUAGACUUGUAGAUUUGAUGCCUGACACUAAAAUAAGAGAUGCAUGUUAAAUGCCACUAGGAAGACCUCAGGGCUGAUUGUUCAGUAAAAUGAAGCACAAGUCUGGGCAUUGAAAGUAAACAAAUAAUGUAAGCCAUUGUAGAGAUCAGCCUUCCAAAGCUGUUUGGAAAGUUUGUAACAGGCACAUCACUUGUGUCUAACUGUAGGCACUCCUCAUCCCCUUGGUGACAGGUGUGCUGCUCUGAAUUUGUUAUUCAAACUUUCAUUAAUGUUCUGUGUCAGACAAGGAAAUAACUUGGAUAAGAUCAAUUUUCAAACAUGUUUCUUCGUGAAGGAACUAAAGAGCAAUCCUGAAAAAUAUCGACUGGAAUGGAAAAAUUCUGAUCUUUGGAAAAUAAAGGAACUGCUGUGUGAGAGGGAAAAUGUCAAUACAUUUGGAGGACAGGUGAGUUUGUUUGCCAGACUAUGCAGUCUUCAUGUCUGUCUUUGAAAAUGCAUGGUCAGUUUAUGAGGACAAGCUUUCAGUUUUAGGGAGCACUGGUAAAUGUCAAAACUAUUUACAUUCUUCACAUAAUGGAACAUGGAACCUUCCUGUGACAAUUGGCAAUGUGUCCAUGUGGAGGAGAGGCUGAAUGGAGACUUUUGAGAAGUUCAGUGUGGGCUUAAUUGUGUUCUUCAGUAUUCAUUGAUACUACGUGAGGUGGUAAUUUCUAGUUAACUCUGGAGUAGUGUAACUCCCCAGCAGACAUCAGCACUGUGCCAUGCACCCAGACUGGCAGGGAUUUGGGACACAUGGCACCACAUCCCGCUCUUCAGUGUCUUUGUUCUAGCUGAUGAGAAGUUUUACAGCAUAAAGGCAGCUUCUGAGGGAUGGAACCCUGAGAGCCACAUCUUUUCUCACCCCUCCAGCCCUAAGCAGAGUGUAAUAAUGACCCAUGGGUUUUUUACAGCAUUUCAAAUAUUUCACCUGUGUUGUGUCUGCAUUUUCACAGGCACUGAUGUGUCAUCCCUGAAACACUUCUACUGCCCUGUAAAGUAUCUUGUCUCAGCUAUCUCAAUUUGCCCUCUAGAAUUUUUUGGGGAUGAAAUAUUCAUUAGAAAAAAGAAUCACCUUUUUUUUCCCGCACUGAGUAUUUAAAAUGAUCUACAGACUGUUUCAUAUUGGUUUUGAACAACUCCAGAACAAUGUUUUGAGCAACUUUUGCUCCAAGAUCUAUAAGGUAGGCCACGUUCCAGAAGCUCCCAAAAGCAUGCCUGGAGCCUCUGAAUCAGGGAAGUAUUCUGUUGGAAAACCUUUCACCUUUAGUGAAAAAAAACCCACCCAUAUUCUUUGGAUGGCUGGUGAUGUCUCUAACCUAAUUAGUCGUGUUCCUUACUGCAGUAGCAUCUUCAACAACAUCUGCUGUGUUCCUUCUGUUGGCAGAGGUUGUAUUUUGUGUUACUGUGCUUAAAUCAGCAUAUCUGGCUAUGGUUUGUAUCAUUCUGUAUAAACUUGAGCCUUUGGAGUCUAAAAUGCUUGGAGUGUCUUUUCUUUCUUUUAGUGAAAUUGUCAGGAAGAAGAAACUUAAUAAUCUAAAUGUAGGGCUUCAGCUGAGCUCUGCUGCACUGCAGGUUUUCAUGUGGAGUUACACAACGAUUCACUUUCAGCCACACAGAGCCCUGCAACAAGUUAAACAAGGGGCACUGAGGCCUCUUCUGCAGGAAUCCUGUUCCAGGAGAAGCUUGAUAUGUGCAGGGAUCUCCCAAAGGAGUAGAAAAGUCACUGCUGGCUGGCAGUACUUCUCUCCAGAUGUACCAUUUGGCACAUUAAGCAAUUCUUUUCUUAGAAGGGGAACCUAUGGUUUUGCCAUGUAAUGCAAAACACCAAUGGAAUCACUACAUAAGCAAAAUGCCAGUAAUGGUACAGUGGUCCAGCCACAAACAUUGCAAACAACCCAGGGCAAAACAUGGUUGUGAAGGUUUGCAGCUGCCCUUGGAGCUGAAGUGGAGAGAGCCACUGCAGUAGUGCUGUGAGCUUGGCCUCGUGGGUUCAGCACUCAGGGGAAAAGGGAUGCACGUUCAAGAUAAAUGUGAGCUGAUUUAUAACCUGGUAUCAAAUCUCACUGGACUUGUGGUUUCGAACAGUUUGAACCGGCUGUGCCACGAAAUCGAGUGACUUCAUGGACCAACCACCUAAUGACUAAGACAUGCCAUAUGCAAGAACAUUGCCUCAACCACAGAUUUUUCUGGUUCAUUUGCUUGAAGAACUCCAAUUUUUUCCUGUCAUUGCCUGGGAAACCAGAAGCAAAUCUGAUGGCUGUGUCGAAGACUUGGAGGUGCCCAGCAUUUGUUCCAAUACUGGGCUGGUAAUUUCGUCUUUUGUGUUUUUUCUUUCUCUCCUUUGCAGCCUUUAUCUACUCAGGUGAUGAGCUGGUUGUAGGAAUUUCUCAUAGCUACAGAGAGUGGGGCCCUUGCAGCAAAAGGGCUUAAAUGUCAGAGGUGGCCUUUGGACAUUAAAACCAUGUAAACCUGGAUUGCUUUCUUGUGAUGCAGUGUUCAGAAAACAAGCAAUGAAAGAAUCGCUUCAAAUUCAGCAGGAGUCAUACUGCAGUUGUCAUUGCCUUUGUUGUCACUGAGUUCUGUGACAGAAAUAUUCCAAAUACCUGUCUGCAGAACAAGGACGUGCAAGCUUCACGAGUGGCUUCUCCCUGGGUGCAAAAACCCAGUCCUUGCUGAGCAUAGGAAUCAUCAGUUGCUUUCAGGGAUUUACUCUGGAAUUAACAUGACUCCUUUCCUUCCAGCACUUCUUUCCUGCAGUUGCUGAUUCUCUCUCUGCAUGUAAAAGCCCUGAUAGGACCAUCAUUAAUGUACAGCACCUCUUUUCUUCUUAACAUUGUCUUCUCUUUACUGCAGAGGUGAAAGCUGUGGAAGCCUUCUGCCUUUGAAGAAGUACUUAAGAUGAAAUGGCUCUGAAGUGCAUUUAAGGGUGUUUACUUUAGGCACUUUAUUUUUUUCUUUAUUUUUAUUCCUAUUGGAACUGGCUAAUGUUAUUCAUUAAACUAACAAUUUCUCCCCUGCCUGUUCUUAAGUGUGACUUGUGACCUUGCAAUCUGUGUAUUUUGUCAUCACAGUGUGUUACCAUGGAACUGAUUUUGAUGUCAUGAAUAAGGGCAUUGUGAGUUUCCACGUUCCCAAGCAUAUUUGAGACACAGGUUUGGAAACAAAAAUGACUUCACCAGUUAAAUAUUGUUAGAUCCUAUAGUAUAUCAAAGGUAAGAACACUUGUGCCCUAUAUUCCUUUACAUAGAAGAAUCUAAGGUUAGGAAUUUCAAAGCAGGUAUAUACAAGAAUGACACUACAAAUAGCAUUUCACAAGAUUAAAUAUUUUGUGAGAGUAUUGAACUCUAACCCCUUUCUGUUACUGUAGACAAAAAUCUUUCAUAUUGUUCAUGGAGCCUCCUCAGGCUGUCUAACAGGGAUUCUGUGUAAAGAGGAAGAAAUGCAGUGUGCUGAACAGCUCCUGAUGCUGCUGGGACUUAACUCCUUCGAGACAAUAGUGGCUGAGGGGAAUUUUCCACCCAAGAUCACUCACAGGCACACAGAGGGCAGUGUACAAUUGCUGCUUUUGAGGCUGAGAGGAGUGGUAAGGAUUUUUUCAGAAAAGAGCCUUGCACAAUGCACAAAGGGAAAAUGCACUUUUGUUGUGCAGCAGAAUACAUGUAUUGCAUGCUUUAAAUUGAAAGAAGCGAGUUCCCUCAGUGAUCUACCUACCCACAUGAGGUUAAAAGAGUUCAAUGGAAUCUCUUGUCAAGCUGUUCCCCAGGGUGUUUAAUUCAUCACAUUUAAAGACUUGAUAGCAUUCUAUUAUAAUGGAGAAGUUUGAAAAGCCUCAAGUGGGGUUAAAAUCCUGUGUUGCAAAAAAAAAAAAAAAAAAAAUCUAGUUUAGCAGGAACCACAUAUACAGUUCUGUUUACUUGAUCUGCUGGAUUUCUUUCCAGAUGAGAAUUACCCAUCCAUUGCAUUUUACAAUCUAUCUCAGUAGCAUUUUUCUCCUGGCACCAGGCAAAUAUGUCCUCAUUAAGUAAAAUUUAUGCUAAUACCAUUCUGAUUAGCAGCAGUCAUUGAUAUUCACUCUCAUUAGCUAAAUUGGUUCACUGGAAGACAUCCCGUCGAGGGUUUUUUUCUGUUUUAAAUGGAAUAUAAAAUGUAUGGAUUCACAGAGAAGACAGAUGAUGAUAAUUAUACCCUGUGUUUACUCCAGACAUUUUUUUAUCCUAAAGCCUCCUGAAGUACUUAGAUCUGCAUUUAGAUCUGCAAGGAGGGAGAAGACCUUUUUUCCCUCUUAGAGAAAAAUCUCUGUCAGAAGUAUAGAAGCCAUUCUGGUUUUACUGUUAUUAGCACAGAUUACACAAAGGAAUCUUCCAUUCUGAAUGUAGAUGCACUUUUUGAUGGGACAAAGGGCAGGACACUUCAUAGGAAAUCUCCCUGGGGAAUGAGCUCAAUUCAUGGAGCAAUGGGACUUUCUACGUGCAGUCUUUUUGGAGUAACCUUGUGAUUCUGACUUACCAUCUCUGGGACCUGUGCCUGCAGUGAUCUUGCAAAAUUAGCCUCAGUGUGAACCUUUCAUCAAAAGUACCAGGAUCCUGUCUGCUCAUCUUUAUAAAUCUUGGCUGAAGGGAAUGAUCAUUUCAGCUGAGAAUUUUAUUGUAUUUUCUUAUGUUAAAACAUACACAAUCAGUUCCAGCCAUGGUUUGAUGCAGUCUGGUAGGAUGCUGUGAUGAAUUACCAGCUGCUUUCUCUUAACUCUCUUAAAGGGCUCUUAUUGCCAAGGUGUGACAAUCCUGCCAUUAACACUGUUAGGUCCAGGAACAGGUUUCUUUGUGUCAUAGCCUCCAUUUCAAGUGCAAGAAGGAAAGCAGUGCUCUCAAUGCCUGAUAUUCUCACUCAUAUAAACAAAAAUCCCAGCUGAUGCCUCUCUUUAUAUGCAGACAUAUCUGUCCUUUACAAAUGCUGUCCCUAUAGCUGUCUGAUAAAGUUCUGUUUGCCUUUAAAUAUUGACACAGCACAUACUCCAUUCUCUUUUAAAGAGGAAAAACCUUUCUCUGGUCCAUUCAACCCUUGACCUUACUAGAAGGAUUACAAACAAGGAUGUCUCUUCUUGCUAAUUUUUUACCUUUUGGAUCUGCAGUCAAUACUGCUGCUUCACCGAGGCUGCCAAGCAGAAAACAGAUGCCAGCAACCACUGACCAUUGGCAAUGGGGAGAUGGGAAACUCUGGCCUACAGUGACCUUUGACUGGGCUCGAAAUUCCUCGGUUUGCCUUUGAAUUCCCAUCACUGAAUAGCUCACAUCACUCCUGGGCAAUAAUUGCGGCGUUUUCUCAUGUGCACUUCUGUUCCUCUCACUCCUACAUCGAUCUGAUCUUUUCUCCCUUAAUCCAAACUAUCCCACAUCCAAAAGAUGCUUUGGAGGGAGAUCUGUGACCACAAGCAGCAACGUGAAACCACCCAGAUGCAGAUAAAUUGCCAUUCUCUCUCUGGCUGCACAGAGAAAUUGGGUCCUAAUGGUAUAGCAAUUACCUUGUUUCCAUGGUAACGUGUGUGAGCACUAUAAAUAAUGUUUGCUGUUUAUAAACAAUUCGGCUUGCACUGAAUUAUAUACACUAUUUGUAUGCUAAUAUAUGGGAUGCACUUCUAGUUGUUUCACAGCAAUGGAAGAGCAAACAGAAAGCUGGAAGUUUUGUGAACACUGUACUUAACCAUGUGAUUAUUAUUUUUUUCCCAUGUCUGUUUCCAAAGGAAAAACUGCAUGUGCUGAAUCUAUUUUCUUUCAUAAUGUAUACAUUCAAUAAUGGAAAAAAAACCUGGAAAGAAAAACUUACAGAAUUAGCAGAUUGUUUUUGCUACUCAUCAUUAUUACUGCACUGGGGGUUUUGUCCCAGAAGGUAAAAAAAAAUUAGGUUACGAUUCAGCAAAAUGCUUCUGUGCAUGCUUAUUUUUAAGCUUGUAAAGUGAUAAAGUAUCUUAGUUUCAUGCUUUAAAAUUGCUUUCUUUUGUCCACCUUUUAUUACGUAACAGCAAAAUAUUUUCUCUGUUUUAGACUUGGCCAUGAAUUUUCUCCAUUUUUUCAGGAAACCAACGAAGAGCUGCUGGUAUUUGUUCAAAGAACAAAAUAAAUUCACUGCAAUACCAGUUUAUUUGCUAGCCACAGAUAGUGGUGGGGGGAAAAAUGGGGCAACUACAGGGGUUUAAUGGGGUUGCAAGAGUGGUUGGAGAGGAGGCAAAUUUUAAGGAGGGGCGUGUGAAUGGCAGCUGGAAACACAAGGAGGAAGGCACAGCUGUGACAGGAUGAAGCUCUGUCCCUGUCAGCACGUUGGGAGGCACACAGGGAAUCCCUGCUCCGUCUGCUGCUGAUGCUGCUCCUGCUCCUGCUCCUGCUCCUGCUCCUGCUCCUGCCUGGCUGGGGAGCAGAGCUCCCGCUGCAGCUCCUUGGCCUUGGGCCAGCGCCGCCCAAGCUCCGCGCCCACCUCGGCGAGCUCCAGUUGCUGCCACAGCGUUUGUGCGUGCUGGGAUGGGGAGCUGGGAUGGGCUCGGGGCUGGGAUGGGCUUCAGCAGCCGGCCUGGGAGAGGGGAGCAAACACGAGCCAAGGGAUUUGUGCUAACACACCGUGGCAGGGCACAACACCUGUGGGCAGACACGUAGACGGCGGUGGGUACGCCACUGAAACAGCAAGAGAGGGCCACGUGCACGUUGCUGAGGAGUAAAAGAAAUGCAUGGCAUUGGAUUUGUUCCUUGGCAGUCAUCCCUGUUGAACUGCCGUGCUGGUUUAGCUGUGGACACCCCCAUAUUUACAUUAAAAUAGUUGGGGAAAUUUCUCCUGUAUUCGUGCCCUGGGUAUGCAGACUCCAUCUCCAAAGCCUCAAGGUGUGCUGAGGGCUGAGGUUGCACCUCUCUGGUUCCUGUUCCACACCGUGGCUCUUUGCUGGUGGCAGGGCAGCAAUCCCAGCCCAUUCCCCUGAGCAGAUGGGGUCCCCUGUGCCUUUGAUUUCCUGGCACAAGCCUCAGCCAAAAUGACACAAAUGGAAUACUUGCUUUGUCAUGUGGGCAAGAGUGGUUUGUUUGCCUCAUCCACACUCAGAGCAGCUCCUCAACCUGUGCUGAAGCUGUGUAGCAAUGGACAGCAUGUUUAUUUUGCACUGUUUGGUUGCUGGUCUGGAAAAGAAAGACACUUGGCUUUUGGGAAAGCACCAAGAAAACAAAUAUCACCCAAAUAAUAAGGCUAAAUAACGUGGGCUUCAGUAAAGGGCUGUUAAUGUUGUGACAGGGCUGCAGUGUCACUUGGGAGCCUCUGCUUGGACUGCAUCCUGUCCCUCCCUGUCUUAAAUGACUUCUCCAUCACUGGCCUCCAAGUGUUCUGAGCUGGUGCCACGAGAAGCAGAGACAACCACGCCGAGUUUCCCAGCAGUUUGCCUGGAGCUCUCAAAGUCCUGCCUUCUGCCCUCUUCUCCCCCAGAGGAUGCACAAGUAGUCAUUAACCAAGAAGUGCAGAGAAGCCAAACAUCUUCCAUUUGGAAAUACUGAAAAUGACUGAAAAUAGUCCCAGCCAUGGAUUACCUGUGGUGUGGCUGUUGGUAUGAGCAUUCCUGUGUUCCCCAAAUAGCUGUGGUGAGGUUGUAAAACCCUGCUAAGUCUGCACCUACCGUGUGCUCCUUCAUCCCCGUGGUUGAUUUGAUGUCUCCCACGUGUCCUCUGCUAUGCCUGACCUCAGGACUGACUUCUGCCAGGGUUUGCUGAGUGAAGGAAAGGGGAAACUACCCAGUCACUGGGCAGUAUUUCACAAAUGACAUCUCGGGGCGGGCCAGUAAGCUCCUAUUUAAUCAGUUGUAUUUAUUUUAAAACUGUGGCAGAAUAUGAUAGCCUGGCUUUGUUUUAAUGGUAGGCUUUGGCUAUUUAAAUUUUAUUUUCUGUGUUUUGGGGUUUUUUCUCUAUAUCCUAAUAUCUUUAAAAAGUCCUCUUAACACCUCUUGGUUUCAUAUAUUUCUCUAAGAUGGAGAUGGUGGUAUACUCCAGUUUUGUUUGAUUUGCAUGUCUGAAUUAGGAAGAAUAACAAUAACAACAAAAAAAAUCUGAGAAAACUUAGAGAGAGGAAAAAUACAGGACUAUCUUCUUUUGAAACUGAAAUAUAAAACUCCACACUGUCACCCAGUCAGGGUUUUUACAAAAGUAGGAGGAAAUAAAGAUUACUGACUGCUUUGGAACAGAAAUGUUCAAAAAGCUAAUUUGCUCCCUAACUUGGAGUAUGAUGACAUCAUGAAUACACACACACAAAAGAAUCCUGAAAAUGGUUCUCUUUCCAAGGAACCACAAAAAUUUAUAGUUCCCUUGAUUAAAGAUAGGGUCUGGUUUGGGCCAGCCAUCUAAUUUCAGUUUGAUAUUUGUGAAAUCUUUCUGCAUCUUGUUCCUCCUUUUUUUCAAGCUUUUAGGUUAAAUAUAUUAAAAUAUAUCAUUAAAAUAAUGCAAAAAUUAAGACACUGAGGAAGCCUGUCUUAAAAAUGUCCUCACUCCUAGUCUGCUGUUUUUAUAUUGAAUUUGAGACAUGCAUCACAACUCUAUUUUGGUCUUGAUUAACAUGUCUUCUGUCACCAAAUAAUUCAUUUUGCAAAGUUUUGAGAGGCACAGCAGACUUAGAAAACUUCCUUGUUUAAUUCAUAGCAUGCUCCAGUCUGGCUUUGCCUGGUGUAGAGUCUGAGCUGAAUUUGGUGAAACCAUCACCUUGGGCAGGUUUCAGGUCAGGAGCCUGAGCAGGGCCUGGUUUGAUUUAUUGCUCCUUGAGCUGAUGUCUCUUACCUUGCAGCCAUCCACAGUGGAAGGGGAAGCUCAGAUCCCUCCUCUUUCAGUGGAGACGAUGGCAGCAGGCAAACACUCGACUGCUUUGAAGUGCCAGCAGAAAAGCUUUCAGGAUCGGGGCCAACACCCUCUGCAAGUGCCUUUUGGAUCUGUCUCAGCUUGAGCAGAGACAUUUGGACAGGUAUCAGGUUGUGAGGGAGUGUAGCCAACAAAAAGCUGAAGUGGGAAAAGCUCAAGUGAACCCACCUAGGGAAAAGAGGCAGCUCUUGAAUGCAAAAGGCUUUAAAGAGAAAACUGAGGGUACUGUUUUCAGAGGAAAGCAAAUGCAAGUCCUUGGGAAAGCAUCCAUUUAGCUGGGUUCUGAAAAAUUUUAUUUCUGUUUGUUCUCUUUUCUGGUGGGUAGUUAGGGAUGGGGAGAAAGUUUCAGGAAUCACCUAAAACAAAAAUGGACACUUUAACUACUUUCACAAUUGGUACUUUCACUAAAUGUGUUUUAUGUAUACAUGACUUCCUAAUGCAGAAUGAAAAACUACAAAAAUGGUUCAAAUACUCGUAGAGGUCAUUCAAUUCACUAAAUCUUGACUUCCACUUCAGGAAAAAUAUCUCCAAAGGGGUGUAUGACCUCUUAUUAUCUUCUUGUAAAAUUGCAGAGAAUCAAAAAGAGUUCUAGCUCUCACUUUAAAAAGUAAUAUGAUUUGAAAAAUAUGCACUGAUUAAAAAUUAACAUUUUCCACAUGUACCUUUUCAUUUUAAUAUUAAAUUUGCAAAUACAGCCAAAGCAUAAAGUGGCAUCACCAGGGAUUGUUAAUGGCUCAUUGCUUCCUUUUCCAGGUCUUUGGGACUGAAAGUUGAUAUUUACAGAUACUUCUAAAAUAGGGAUACCUCUGGGUAAGUUAAUGGGAGCAUUACAAACCCAGGAGUUUCUGGUUUAUGUUUCUCAAGACUGGAGAAGCUGAAUUUGAGUAAGAUGCAUGGGAACAAAGAAAUUUGGUGUUCUGACCUGAUGUCUAUGUUCUUUUCCUUUUCUAAAAUUAGCUCUAAUUAAUAACUCUAUUGAGUAUCUCGGAGAUUAUCCCUAUUUCAUGGAAACAUUUCAGCUAUAUGAACUGUUGCAAAGGGUUUGGAGAUGUAGAGUGCUAGGGGUGUAAUUAGCCUAAAUGAGUGUGGCUGAAAAAGGUCCAGGAUAUUCAACUUCAGUAAAAAGACCUUCAACUUGAAUAAAAUAAGAGAGGCUUAUACCAUACCAAGAACAUUAAUGCUUAGGAGUGGCUCUGUUUGACUAAGAAAAUGCCAUUAGAACCAAGUAUUUAUGACUAAACACACUUGAAUAGAAAACAUGCAGAGAAAACUCUCAUAGUUCAUUUGUCAAAAGCUGGCUGAACUGCAGCCCUGUAAUAAUUCUGUCCUGGAUAUCUCAGCCAGAGGAGCUGCUAACCACAGACUGACUUCCUCAUUCCUUCUCCUUCCUCCAGGAGUGCUUUGGAUUAGGGAGUCAGCUGAAAUUUCCAAAGCACAUAUUUUCCUACCGUGCUGCUGCGACCCAUCUCCAGCGUUCUCAAGAUGCAGUUACAGCUGUGAGAACUGCAGCAAAAUCCAUGACAAAAGGUGGAUGGAGGCAACUCUUACACCCCCACCAAAGAGCACUGGGAUCCAAGGAUUUCCAGGAAAGCCUUGCCGAUGGGACCUGUCACCCCUGAGGAGUAAAUCUUGGUGAAGUGUACAUAUUUUGUCAUGCUCUACAUGUGUUUCUGGUGUCUGCAUUUUGGCUGAAAAGGCAAAGUCAGUAACUUGCUAAGAGAGACAGACAUCACCCAUUUCAGUGUCCUGGGUGACACCUUUGGAAAUGUAUAUUUAUAUAUAGAUGCCUGUCUGUCUAUAUAAUAAUUGUUUGCCUCUGUGUGUUUGGUUCAGAUGCUGAUGUUUAAACACAUUAUUACAUGCAUUAUAUAUAUAUUAUUUAUCAACUGCCUGGCAGCCUCUAUUGUACAAUCUGCAACUUUGUCCUAAUUCUUGAUUUUCUUUUUCUUUUUUCCAUUGUCUUUCUGAAGGUCCUGUUUUGUGAAUCAUUUCGGUGAGCAGAAACCUGAUUUCACUGCUGUGUUUUUUCAAAGAUUCCCACUGGUUUUGAUGGUGGGAGGACUUGCAAAUGCAAGCCAUGCAGGCUCAAAAAAGCAGAAGUCUCAAAAAGAAUUAACUCAUGCUCCUGAAGCCAAUCUUGCAGGUUUUUUUAAUUUUUUUGGAGGCUUCUCUCAUGAAUGUGGAAUGCUUAGGGUUACAACCCUGAGCAGAGGCCCAAUCAUCAGGUAGUUAAAUUCCUGAAUGCUAUAAUUUGUGUGCCCACAGUCAGCUGUGGGUAUAAAAUUGUGCCCAAAAACUUGGAGGUUAGGGAAUACAAGGCCCAAACUAAGCAGAUUCUAAGCAACAUUUUUUCCCCCUCUUUCCACCCAGAUGCUGCAGAGUGCCCUUGACAGGCCAGCAUGCUCUGGCCCUCCAGAGGAAUGUCUCUCUGCAUGGCAUUUUGAGCAGCUUCCCACUUGCCAGGGAGGUGCCAUGGAACCUGGCAAAGGUGGCCAGAUCUGACUUUGUUCGCUCAAUUCUCUGAAUGAAGAGCAACUAACAUUUUACUUCCUAAAAGUCUCUCCAGCUCAGUUUUCCUCAGCAAAAUUCCCAUCAAAGCUCUGACCCUGAACCCUAAAGGUACUUAUUUACUCAAAUCCAGGACGCUGUGCCAAGCUAGGUGCUUAAUUAAAGAUUGAAAAUCAUUAGCUCAUAUGAGCCACUCUCUCAGCAGUUUCAUUUGUCAUAUGUCAGUGCCUCGUAUCUAAUCUUGAAUGGUUUACAGCAAGAUCUACCUCCCAGAGCAAAUUCCCAUCGUUGGGCUGUGCUGCCUCAGAUUAAUCACAGGAACAUUCCUCAGGUCCCUUUUUCCACAUACAGGCCCACUCCCACCCCAGUAUGGUUCUGCCAAGUAAAAUUUUCUAACUGCUGCUACUUUGUUAAAUGAAUUGUGAAAUAUAACAUUAAAGCUUUCUUAAUCCCACAUCUUUUUAUACCUAUAUAAAUCAUACAUUUAAAAUGCAAUUUGAGGGCUGUCUGCUGCCAGUUAAGUAGAAAAAGACUUGUGAAGACCAAAAUAAAACAAACUGAUAUGCAGGAAAAGAAAUCCGUAUUUCGAGUUCCAUGUCUAGGCCCAACUACAAAAUAUCAGAUAAAGUUUCUGUACAUAGUAAAAAUCCUAUUUGGAUAAAGUAUGUAAAAACAAUAGUUACAUUUUGUGUGUGUGUGUGUUUUGGCUUCACCCUGCUGGUUUUUGUUUUCCUUAAUGGAAAUGCACAUUGUUGGACCAAGUGUUGACCGUAACAAAGUCCAUAUAAAUUUUUGACUGAAGUAGCAAAAAAAAAUAAAAGGCUUGAAGAGUUUUGCCUCAUCAAAUAUGCAAGCGAUCAACUUUUGUUUUGGGUAAUAACUACAAAAGAGACGGAUUCUGGUCACAAGAUGUCACCACUUCUUUGAUGCUCGUGCAGCUGCAGCCACGAGAGCUGAUGGCUUGCUGAUGAUGUGGAGACUUGGCUAACCCAAGUCUCAGUGCAGCCUGGGGCCCACCACUGCUGGCAAAACACUGAUCUCCUGCACCCAUCUGGGAAUCCAAGCUCAGCUUGUUUGGGUUUGGUUUUUUAUCUUGGAUGGGCAGCGGUGUAACUAAGAUUAGUAGGGUGUAAUGCUACUGUUCUAAUACAAAUGUCCUGAAAUUAUUCUUUCUUAAAACAGAUCACAGAGCCCAAAAUUGAGCAGUUCAUGGCGUGUCUCCUUGGGUUGUGCCCAGCCCUGUGAAGAGGGAGCAUGGAGCCACCAGAACAGGAAUAAGGGUACUGCAGCUGCAGGGUUUUCUUUCUGCUCCUCUGUGAAGCUGUUCCAUCAAGCAUCACAACAGCAUUUAUAUUCUGUGGGAUGUGGGAUGAGGAACUGACCUACUGUGUUUAUUCCCCUUGCCACAUCCCUGUCUUUCUCAUUGUUUAGUUUAAUGGGAGCAGGGAGCCUCUGCUUUGCAGCAGGUCAUGUCCAGACACAGGACACUGUGAGGAUGACGUGGCUUUUCCCUGCCAUUGGCCAGAGUUGAGCAGGGCUGGGGCCAUCAGGGGUGCCAGGAGGUACCAAUUCACCUCCUCCACUUGCCUCCCUAGCUAAGGCACCCUCUUCCAUAGUGUCCCCACUUAAUACAUUGAAAAAGCUCUUGGCUACCAGGAAAAUUAACCCAGCAUUUUGGACCUGCUGCCCAUUAGAUGGAUGUCCCUACUGUUAUGAAGAUGAACAACAGCUUAAUCCAUUAGUGCUUUCUCUCUAUUUUCUAGGAGAAGAGAAAAUAGCUGUUUGAUCAACAAAACUGCUGCAAUUGGUUAAAACAUUCUGUAUGUUAUUUUUACAGUGAAAUGUUGCAAAGCAAUUUCCUUCAGAAGCGUCCUCCCAGUCAUCCCCAAAGCCAGUGUGCCUGCAGUGUUCCAAUCUCUUUUCUAUGGAAUUUGUUGUAAACUUUAAAGGUAAAAUAUCACCUGAAACAGUUAAAAAUAUUUCACUGGUAGUUUUUUCUGUCAGGCAGAACAGAUGUGUCAGGUUUGAGGUCGGGCAGUGAUAUUUCACUAGAUGUUUGAUACAUGCCUUGCAUGCAUUACAUGGUGUGCAUGGGCAUGCACAUUUCUUGAAUAAAACCAUUUAGCAAGUCCUAAAAUAUUUGGCUAUUCCCCCCUCUAAUUUUAAAGCAAAUUGUUCAAAAAGUAGGGUAGUACCAGAUGUAGCUGCUGGCAGUCUGUGUUAAGGGUGUGUUUCUGGAAGAAAAAAAGCUAACAAAUCCAGCCCAACUGGAAGCAGGAGAUCUAUCCUCAUGAGAUUUUGAGCCAAAGCCUGCAUAUUCAGGACAUAUGGAUAAGCCCUUAGUUAUCCAUCUAACCCACCCAAGCUGUAACACCAAAAUUUUUGAAAUUGGAUUUAUGUAACUGUCUGCAAAUCACUUUAAAUGGGAAGAUGGAAAGUAUGGCAUGAAGCACAACUAUUGAAAGCUUUUCUUUCAUGAGUGGUCUCACAAAGGAUGUGUAGUGAAAUAAUUUGUCACUUUUAGAGAAAGAAACUUUCAGCAAAUGAUGGGCUCGAGGCUGUAAAACCUGGAAAGUAACAUUCUUUGCAUCCCUGAAAUGACUUAGAAAACAAAGUCACAUUUUAGAGAAUAUUUUAGGCUUAUAAGAGCAUAAAAUUAGUUGGCUUUUGCGUUUGAAACAGGAAUUCAGCCUCCACUGUGACUUCAGAACGUUUCAUUCAGAGUCUUUUUCUGGUCUUUCCCUUCUUAUCUUUACAUCCUCUCAGGUGACAGUGUGGGCAGUCUGCAGCAUAUGAGGCACUGUGCAACGUGCAGGAACGAGCUGAUUAAUUAUAAUGCCUGACAUGAGGGGAAGGGAGCUAACACUGCCUUCCAUAACAUGCACAGACAAUACACAUAAAUAUGUAUAAAUAGCCAUAAUUAUGUGCACACACACUACAUACAUUUAUGUCUGUGUAUGUAUAUGUCAUAUCAUAUCGUAUCAUAUCAUAUCAGUUUAUGUCUGCAUAUAUGUAAUGGAUGGUAAUCAACAAAUCACCUCAUUAGCUCCUUCUACGCAAAAGCAAGUGAGCAAAAAACUCCUCCCCAGUACUGCAGGCCUAUUGCACCAGAAACCAUGAGAAAAAAAAAAAGAAAAAAGCCAUGGCUUAGGUGGAAAUAAUUGAUGUCCUAAAUAAUUGAAAAAUCUCUUCUGAAGAGAGCCUGAAUUAUUUGUUUGUUCUCCACACUCUUAUUGCUUCAUAUGUAAAAUAAGCUGUUGUCAUCUUCCAGGCAUUCCAAAAAAAACAGCAGGAAAAACCCACUGCUGUUACAAAGGAGUAAAUAUUGGGAUGGUGUCAGGCUGAGUUGCUGGCAGUCAGUGUAAGGGUGUGUUUCUGGAAGGGCCAGUUUUUUCUCCACAUAACCACAGUCACUGUCUAUUGUAAGAGCCUAAUUGAUUGAUAAACUGCUAGAAACAUUUCUACUUUUCGGUACAAGCUGCAAUCUGCUACCACUUUGUCAGUUUGUUCUUUUAACUCACCCCAUAAAAACAAACAGAAAUCUCCAUUUUAUAAAUGAGAUUCCCUGUGAGAGACGGUCAUUGUUUUGAGGCUUUCAACAGAAAGUAAAGCUUAAUGAUGUGUGUUCCCAGAUGUUACUCUAAGUUCAUUUAUCCCAGAAUGAAGAUACUUAUUUCUAAAAAUACAUGGUAGAAAGCUGUCUCAUAAAACAGCAUCAAAGCUGACUUGGUUUGUUGGUAUUUAAUUUUUCAUUACUCUGUCCAAGUUUCGCCCACAGACCUCUCUAUAAUCCUCCAGAUUUGCAACAGAACGUUCUUUCAGCAACAUUUGUGUAGGCCUUAUACUAGUCCUCCUUUGGGGACUUGUUCUUAUUUUCCACACUUGCACUUUCCAUCCUGAAUCACAGUGGAUGUUCAGGAUGUUUAGGGACUGAUGGGGAGGUUUGUUGCUCUGCCCUUUCACAUGGUGCGGUGCCGCUUUGCCGCCAAGCGCAAAUCUUCCGUCAGGAGAGCCUUGUGUCACCAGGAAUCCCUGAGCGUUGAUUUAUUCCAAAUGAAUUUUUUAUUCCAUUUAUUCCAAUGGCAAGAUCAUGAUUUUGUCACUGGUGCUAUUUGUUGCAAACUUAUCAGAAGCUCUGCGAACCUGCCAUUAGCUGGAACAAUUCUUAGAAAUUCAGUGCAGAGCCAUACGGGAUGCAGUGCGGGGCAGCCAGGGGAUUCUUUCAUUCCACAGUCAGCAGGAAUUCCUUGAGAAGCCUAAAUGUCAUUUUUUCCAAGGAGAUAAUUUAAUGGAGGGUUGUAUUGAACAUCUCAGCCCUAGACUCAAGUAAAAGACCCCUCAAGACUGCUUGUCCCCUCAUCUGUUUGCAAAGCUCGUGCAAUUAUUUUUAUAGCAUGCUGCUUGUUCCACAAAGAGAAAUUCCUCUGGGCUCUGUUUUUAGCAACAGUGAAAUACCAGCAGGGCAGCUUUUGAGAGCAUCCCAACAAAGGAAAAAUAUUAGAGCCAUACUGCUGUACUUACAAACCCCUCUGACUCCCAGGCAUGUGUGCAACAAGUGCUGGGAGAGAUUGAGAAUGGGCAAGAUUUCUGAGAGCACAUGAGAAGUCCUUGUGGUGCUGUAAGAGAACAUUCAAAUAAUUGCUUGAGGGGCAAAACUGGUGGCCAGAGUCUUGACUAAUGAUCCUAGGAAAGAACCUCUGGCCACCUGGUAGAUGUCUAGUGAGGUCAUCAAGGGCCUACCACUGACUUCAGAGCAAGUUGUAAACUAUUGUAUGUGGGGUUGGGAGCUCUUCGUGUUCAUUUUUCCUCAUGUUUCUGUCUUAGAAGGCUCUGAGAUUCAAAAAUAAGACUAAAAGGAAGGUAGCACACUUGUUAGGUAAAAGUUGUUCUUCUUAGCUAACUCAAAAAGCCAGUUUGGUGCGACUAAAAAAGAACUGCAAGCCUUACCAUUACAGAUGUGAAUGCAGGGCUUUUUAAAUGGUGCAAGUGUUGUAAAAUCUCUGUAGGGAGCUACAGAAGCAUAGACUUCCUUUACUGUCUUUACUGUCCAUUACCACUCUAAGGUUGAAAAUACCUUAUUUGAAAAUAUUUGAGAACUUCAAAAGCAAUGAAGGAAUUAAAAAAUAAACUGAGUUGCCUGUGCUUUCUUCCUUACCUUUUAUUCCUGUUCAUGACACAGAUAAAAUAUCCAUUUUUUGGCCCUUUAUAGUAGCAGUCAUGAACCAAAAGCUUGGCUCCAAAGUGUUUCCAGAUUUUAAGACAAGCCACAUACAGAUCAGCAGGGUGGCACUGACAGACUUCCUCAGAGCAGUGCAAGCAUUUUCCACUUGUGUUGUGAGAGUUUUGGAAGGGAAAAGGAAAGAGAUGGAGGUUCAGUGUUGUACCCAGGCAAAUGGAGGAGCCAGUGAGGGAAGGUGCUGCUGGACCUUACUCUAACAAACAAGGAAGGUCUUGUUGGAGAAGGAAAGGUUGGGGGCAGCUGCGGCUGUAGUGACUGCAAGAUCGUGGAGUCCAGGAUCCUGUGUGGGGCAAGGCAGCUGUGGCUAUCCAACUUCAAGAGCUGGGGCUGUCCAGGCUGGAGAGGAGCCCCAGCUGAGAGGGGCCCUCAUCCCUGGGUGUCCCUGUGUGCAGGGAGGGCUCCGAGCAGGGCCCAGGCUCUGCUCCCUGGGGCCCAGCAAUGGCACCAGAGGAACGGGCAGGGACUGAUGCCCAGGAGGUUCCACCUGGACAUGAGGCAGAACUUCUUCCCUGGGCAGGGACCGAGCCCAGAACAGAUUGUCCAGAGAGGGAGCGGAGUCUCCUUCUCUUGGCAUACCCGAAACCCAUCUGGACACAAUCCUGAGUAACAUGGGGGGAUCCUGCUUCAGCAGAGGACUUGGACCCUUCCAGCCUUACCCAUUCUGUGAUUCUGUGAUUGCUUCUGUGAUUCUGUGAUUUCUGACUUCAGUGUGAAUAAGGAUCAUGUGGAGUAUGUAAGAGUGACACCCAUGCAUAAGAAAAAUCUCCUGGUUUCAGAUUUUGUGUCAGGCUCACAGUCCAGUCCAGGUUUACCAAGGACCCCCAAAACUGCCAGAUUUCACAUGAGUGUAGGUCAGAUUUCAAGUUUGCCUGGACUGUCAGAAGGAACUUGUGAUUUCACACUGAAAUUGCAGAAAACUCUGUAACUGCUUUUGUAAGGGUCCAACCCAGAAACGCAGCAUAUCUUAAGGUCCGGAGUUUUGUUCUAACCUUAAGUUUCAGUCAGCCUUGAAUUCAAAAUGUCUAAUUUAUACAAAUAGCAAAUCAUCUCAGAAGAACCAAAAUCACUAAAUAUUAUUUACUGUGCAACUCUGAAUAUUCAAUUAAUGGGAAUAUAUAUCAUAAUACCAACAUUAUUUCUAAACAUGACCCCCAAAACCAUCUUUUUAUUAGCACAUUCCUCUGGAUUUGAUGGAUUAUACUUAAAAACAAAAAACUACACCAAAUCCUUUCUGUCAUUCUUAGCUUUUGAAAGCAAUACAAUGAAUUAACAAAUAGCUAUGGGUAUAAAUAACUACUGAAAAAUGCCAGCAACAAAAAAAAUAAUAAAUUCCAAAAUACUAUUUAUAUUUUUAAAAAUAGGGGAAAAUAUAUUGUCAGCAUUGCAAGCCUUUUUAUUCCUUUCUUAAAAUAUGGAAGUAUUAUAAUUUGUUUUUUUGCAAGAACAUUAGCAAAAAAAUAUUUUAGAAUUGUUAAACAAAGCUUAUUUGCAUAAAUGCUGCUACCACAAGUAUCUGUAAAAGCACUUCUUUGGUUUGCUUAUGUCCCUCUGCUUAUGAAAUUCUGAUGAAAAGUAAAAUAUAAUGUGCUUAGUAAGAAUCAGCAAUGUGGUCUAGUGGUUACUGGGCUGUAUUUAGAAUUGGGGGACCCAUGAUCAGUGCCUGGUUCACAUAAUGACCUCUUUCUGUCCUUGGGACUUCACUGUUCUCCGUCUCAGAAUCUGCUUUGCCUUUUUGUCCCUCUUUCACAUCCAGAGUGGGACAUGUUCCAAGCAGAAUCUGCAUCAGGAUCUCCACGGGGGUGGCACAGCACACACCACAGAGGAUGCCAGUUUGAGCAGGGAUGAUAAUGCACCUAGCAGUAAUAAACUCCCCCUGGCAAGUUCAAGAGUUGACUUCCACCUUCUUUUGCCUCCAAACACAAUUCAUGAUGCUGAGCUGAAUUUCCCAGCCUAAGUGAAGUCAUCAGCCCAGGAGCUGGUCUCCCAAUGUGAUGGUCAGCUCCUGAAGGAAGUUAUUUUAUACCUGUGGCAGCAAUUUUUAGGAAAAAAAGAUUGUGCCCCUCAAGGCUGUUUUUCUGCUUGGCUCUUCAGUCCAGCACAUCUGGAGACCUCAGUGUGAGCUAUCACUGAAGUACCAAUCCUGUCCCUACACUUGAGACUGUGCCUCUCUCACCACACUGAAUUUAUGUAGUAUUUCCACCCCAGUGAGCUCCUGCCUGUGCAGAACCCUCAGUUUCAGUGCAUGGCCAAUGCAACUGUGCUAAUAAGCAAGAUCCAGGCAGUCAGAUAAUUGCACUGCUUCUGUCACCACUAAUUCUACCCUCUCUGCCCAGUGCUCAGUGCAGGACUGAAAGCACUCGUGGUUUUAGAGGGGGAAAAUUCAGUCUUACUUUGUGGACUAGAGGAGAAGGAUUUCAUUGGAUUGCUAUAUUGGUAUAUUGGAUUUUUCCAACACUGGAGUGGAGGGCUUUUCCUGGGGGAAAACACUUUGAAGGCUAUAAUCUCUCCUGAGGUAGGUGUGUGUGAUGCAGAGAGAUUUGCUACACUUUUUAAAGGACAAGCUUUGAGAGCUGUGAGGAUUGUUGAUAAACACAACUCAUCUUAGCUCCAUGAUGUUUACUGUUUCCACAACAAGCACUUCCGUCAUGGAUGUACACAUGGAGCUGUUUCUCCUUAUGCAGCUCUUUGUAGAUUUGUAGUUACA